UUACUAAAUCAAACAAAAAAUUGACCAAAAAAACUUUUUAUGGGGUUUGGUAAACUUUUUUGUUAGAAGGCCUUUCGUGAUAAAUUUAAUAUGAAUGCAGGUAUUUGCUACAUAUUUAAGUACCUUGCUGCUGGUAUAUUUUAAUUUUAAGUUUUACGAACAUUUUAUACCUUUUUCUCUUGUCUUUUUUACCCCAAAUUCGCCUUAUGGAAAGGGUUAAAAAAAGCAACUGUGUUUUUUUCUGCUUUUAUUUUUUCUUCCCCAGCCAAUAUUAACUUUGUGGUAAAAUUAAUUUUAAAGGUAACCAAUUAUCAAAAACAGAUAUUUUACAGCUUUGCCUACAUUUUCUGAUAAUGUAAUUUAUGUUUUGGGUUAAGACUGUUUAGUUACAUUAAAAAUGAUAAAUUAUGAAAGAAAAGCUUUAGAACAAGGCUGUUAAAGUAUGUAGGUGAUAUUUUGCUUUUGUGAAAAAAAGAGAAAAAGUUGAGGUUUCUGAAAAAAUAUAGACUACAUAAUACCCAAGUUGUAUGACUAAUAUUUGUAUUAUUACCCUGUACUUCCAUUAUUAAUUUAUCUAUUUUUAGAUUAAGUUAAGUUGCUUUUGAAAACAUUGUUUUUUAUUGCCCCGCUAAUGUUUUUUUUACCCGAAAUCCUGAGUAAU